CGAUCACUAAAUUGUAUAAAAAGCGUUGACAUUGCAUUCCUUUUCGUAUUGUCACUCUACGCACCGGCACGAUCUUUCGUUUUUCACCAAACGUGAUCUGUCAGAAAUGCUUGCAACGGCUACAGUGUUGUGUUGCUUAAUUUCCGUUGCACUGGGCCAUGCAAUUACAAGGGACAACCCGUUUGGUCUCUGUGACGUUGCUGUACUGAAUGCUCAGAACGAAUGCGGCAUCGCGGGCGUUUGGCGGAAUCAGCUCCAGUCCGUCAUGAAAUUCACUUGCGUCGGCGGACAUAUCGACGGCCAAUAUUUCACGGCGGUAGGAAACGCCGACGGAUUCUAUUAACUGUCGGGAAAGUAUUUGAAGCCUGACCAAAACACAACCAUUCUCGGAUGGGUUGUUGCUUACAACAACACAUUGUAUGGAAAUUCCAACUCAACAGCUGCAUGGUCCGGGAUCCAUUACGCAGACAACGGUACUUUGCACACCCACUGGCUGCUAACUCAUUUCCAACCACGAUCCAACCUCUGGAGGACAACAACUGUCAACCAUGAUAAUUUUGAGAGGGUUUGCUGAUUACAUAUACAAGAUUUGACCGAGCCCGAGCUCUGCAUGUUUAAUAUGCGACGAAGGUCAACAACGACGACUUAAAGAUUUGCUUUUUAAACAAUACCGGCUUAAUAUACCACACAAUAUAAUUAUGCCUUAUUUACCAAAUGGUUAAAGUGAUAUUAUGGACAUCUAACAGUUUAUAUGUGUCUAUCGCAACCGUUGUUUAUUUUUGGUGUUUUCACUUCAUAUACACUUAUAUUUGUUAAUGCAGCAUCAACAUACUAAAACAAUAUCCCGGAAAGAGAAAAAUAAUGCAUUUGAAUAUCAACCGUACUUUCGUUUGACAACUGAUCAUGCAUGUUCAAUGUGAACCUAAAUUUAGUUUAGGUCAGAUUCGUUUACACGACACAAAGACACCAUUUUGUUUUACGGAUCAUUUCGGCUUACAGGACUGGGUGGGUCACGUACAAAAUAUAAUAUAAAAUAUAUUUUUAUAAACAACUGGUAGGUAGAUGAGUUGCAGAUAAUUGGUCAGUAACCACAUUUUAACUUACUCUUUUGACAUGUUAAUUCUUUUCAGCUCAAUUCAACUGUGAAAAAUGCCCAUAAUAUCACUUUA